rnacentral:rRNA from 1 species
UACGUAGGGUGCAAGCGUUGUCCGGAAUUUAUUGGGCGUAAAGAGCUCGUAGGCGGUCUGUCGCGUCGGCUGUGAAAACCCGAGGCUCAACCUCGGGCCUGCAGUCGAUACGGGCAAACUAGAGUACUGCAGGGGAGACUGGAAUUCCUGGUGUAGCGGUGAAAUGCGCAGAUAUCAGGAGGAACACCGGUGGCGAAGGCGGGUCUCUGGGCCGGUACCGACGCUGGAGGAGCGAAAGCGUGGGGAGCGAACAGG